rnacentral:misc_RNA from 1 species
GUGGGAGGGGGCUUGCUCCCGAUGGCAGUGUGACAGUCAGUACAUGUAUAGACUGAUCCACCGCUAUCGGGAGCGAGCCCCCUCCCAC